AGUGAACGCUGGCGGUAGGCCUAACACAUGCAAGUCGAACGGCAGCACAGUAAGAGCUUGCUCUUACGGGUGGCGAGUGGCGGACGGGUGAGGAAUACAUCGGAAUCUACUUUUUCGUGGGGGAUAACGUAGGGAAACUUACGCUAAUACCGCAUACGACCUACGGGUGAAAGCAGGGGAUCUUCGGACCUUGCGCGAUUGAAUGAGCCGAUGUCGGAUUAGCUAGUUGGCGGGGUAAAGGCCCACCAAGGCGACGAUCCGUAGCUGGUCUGAGAGGAUGAGCAGCCCAACUGGAACUGAGACACGGUGCAGACUCCUACGGGAGGCAGCAGUGGGGAAUAUUGGACAAUGGGCGCAAGCCUGAUCCAGCCAUACCGCGUGGGUGAAGAAGGCCUUCGGGUUGUAAAGCCCUUUUGUUGGGAAAGAAAAGCAGCAGGUUAAUACCCCGCUGUUCUGACGGUACCCAAAGAAUAAGCACCGGCUAACUUCGUG
rnacentral:rRNA from 1 species